rnacentral:rRNA from 1 species
UACGUAGGACCCAAGCGUUGUCCGGAUUUACUGGGUGUAAAGGGUGCGUAGGCGGAUUUGUGCGUCGAAUGUUAAAGACCAGAGCUUAACUCUGGGAAUGCCUUCGAUACGGCAGAUCUUGAGUACGAGAGAGGAUAGUAGAAUUCCUGGUGUAGCGGUGAAAUGCGUAGAUAUCAGGAGGAAUACCAGUGGCGAAGGCGGCUAUCUGGCUCGUAACUGACGCUUAGGCACGAAAGCGUGGGGAUCAAAC